UGUGCGUCCUCGCAUAGACCCAGCGGACCAUGGCGGGGUCUUCCUGGGGUGCAAAGAAAACCGCGAAUCACAGAAUAUCCUAAGUUGGAAGAGACCCACAAGGAUCAUCGAAUCCAACUCCUGGCCCUGCACAGGACCAUCCCGAAGAGUCACACCAUGUGCCUGAGUGCAUCGUCCAAACACUUGAACUGUCAGACUUGGUGCUGUGACCACUUCCCUGGGGAGCCUGUUCCAGUGCCCAACCACUCUCUGGGGUGUUUUGUUCUGUCCACAAAAGAAAGGAUAGAUCUGCUUCAUUCAGUUUGAGUAUUGAAAAGUAGCAGUGCCUGCUGUGAACUCUGCCUGCUUCUCUCUGACAUGAUCGAGAGAAUUUUGGAUGAUCGAUCUACUGGAGAAUGACAGUGGAGAGAAGGCAAAUUUUAUCCUGGGAUGUCACUACAUAAAUCAACUGAUCUCAGAUUCUAAGAGCAAAGCAAUAGAGAGGAGUUUGGAAGGAGAAGAAAGGGUAAGUCAUCUCUUUAGUCUGUGUACAGACUUUUAUUAAUGUGGUAUUCAAGAUAAGUUUUAUUCUCCCCCUUCCUUUUCAGUGUCCUUUGCACAACACCUUAAGGUACAAAUGCUUUCACUCUAUCAACAUGGAAAUUGCUGCCACUUUUGCUCACUGUCAGUAUUGGUGGUGCUGGGCACUGCAGUUUUUUGCCUCACGUCUGACCAGUCCCACUGCACAUACUGGCUGUCUGGGCCCUCAAUUCCUGGUGGAAACCCAAAGUGAGACCUGCACAGGUACCCACAGUGAUACAGAGAUGUAGGUGACAGCAGAUGUGCCUCCUGCCAUCAUGGCUCUGCUAUGGAAAAAGCCACUCAGUGGAAGAAUGGGAGUCCACAAUCUGGUGGCAGAAGGCCUUUUUGCUGGACCACGCCUUCAAGAGCUGGAAACCUUUCUCCCUGUAGCUUUUGAAGGCCAUCUCCACCUGGCUGUUCCAGCCUUGCUCCUUCUUGGGGCACAGUUUGGUCAGCAGGAAUGCUUUGGCCCGUACAGGUUAUGCUGCUUCCCCAAAGAGAGCACAGCUUUCUGGCCAAAAGAUUUUAUGACCAGCACGAUCAAAUUUACAUGAAGGUUUUUGCCAGCUUUGCUAUAUUGGUCAGGGCUAGAGAAUGGGCUGAGGGUAAAUGACACUCCUGGAGAUAGACCUUUGCCAGAAAAAAUUCUAGUAUGCCUUACUCUUAACAGCUGCCCUUCUGGUUCUAUAUGUCUGAUUAUUUUUAGUUUGCCUUUGCAAUAGACAGACCCAUACCUUUCUCAUUAAUAAUGUGAAAUUUGCCAAGUUCACAGUGACAUCUUAAUUAACUCAAUGUUUGCUUGAAAGAAAAUUAUAUUGCUGCACUUUUAUUUGAUAAUUCAAGUAAUACUCACUGAGUGUUCACUCCUGACCUGCAAGUCCUCAUAUUUAAAACAAGCAGGGAGGUGGGGGAUGGGGGAUGGGAGAGAGAAAGGCAUUUUUUGGCAAAGAAACUGCUGCCCUCAGGCUAUUAAUGCAUCUUAAUUCUGAACAGAAAAUGAAAUCACUUUGGGCAGGUGCCAAGCAAUACAACAAAUUUCCUCUGAUUUCAGGGAGUUCUUGAACAGCCUUUCCCACAUGAAGUAAGAGCCAUACUCUUCAUUGUGCUCUCACUUCACAAACAUUUUAUACCCCUACCAAGGCAGGGUCCCAGAGGAGUUUCCCCACACUAACAAAAGAAAAGCAGACCUCAUUGGUACUGUUAUUUAUUAUUUUUAUUAUGGCUCAGGGCCCAUGUUUACUGUUUCUGACACUGGACUUCAUGCCUGUAGAGCCAGUGGGCACAUUUUUUCUUCUAACUGUGCUUUUGAGCAUAAUUACCUCUAUAUGGCAUCAUUUGCUGGUCCCCUGAUAGUGUUACUCAGAAAGAAAGAUGUCUGAACCUCUUCCUGCAAGGCAGAAGAUCUAUAGUAGUCAUUGGGCUGCUCAAAGAAGCUACAUAGCAUCCCCUUGUCACUGAUUUGUCCUGGGGCAUGAUGCAUGGUCCUGUUUAGCUACCCUGAUGCUGCAGUGCUGACAAAAGGGACUGCUCAGGUCUCUUCUGCUCCCCUGGGGGCUUCUGGCCACCUCUUAUCCCCCAACUAGGACCUGACAUGAGGAGCUGUGAGUAAAUCAGAUCAGCUGACUUAUUUGGCUAGAAAUUAACCCAGGAAAAUGUCUGUGGGGUGUGUGCUGGUCUGAGUGACUGCCCAGCCAUGCAAUGCUGGGGAGAGGUGAAGGAGCAGGAUGGCUUCAGUUGCUGGCAACCCACACUUAAAUGUCCUCUGAAUGGUAAGAUAUUGGCUCCCUCCUUGAUGUGGGUGCAAAUGCAAGCAUUGCAUGAGAGGACUGCAGGAGAUGAGGUAAGGAGCAGAGGGGAGCAGGGGCAUGGGGAUUUUCUGAAAAGGCAGCAAAAGGGGUGGGCCGGAGCUGAACACUGUGGGCUGUGGGGGCUGGUGAGGAACUCAGUGCAAACGAACAGGAGACAAAGCUCACCAAAAGAAAACAUUUCUGCGUGAACACACUUCUGCAUGAAACUAUUGAGGAAAAAGAAAAAAAGCUGUGCAGGAAGAGCCCAGUGGUGAGUGGAGAUUUGAGGCUAUAAGGAAAACUCUGCUUUGCUGACAGAGAAGGUUUUAACAGAGUCAAACCAGAAAGGGGCACAAGGAAAAUUAGUGAUGAAGAGCCAUUUAGCAGUUGAACAGAGGGGACUCAGAGAGCACAGGCAUCUACAAGAAGAAUGUGGGGUGGUGGUGUCUCGUAAAAUGGAGAGCCAAGGACAGCAGAAUGCCGUAGGCACUGCUGAGAGAGAGCGGGGGUAGCAGAGGGCCUGAGCUACAUCCAGCAGUUAAAGUGAAGCCAGCAGCAGAGGAACAUCAGCAGGAUGUUGGUGUGCUGCAUUGCACUGCAGAAAGCAACAAGCAGACCUGGCUCUCCAGAGUCCAGGUGAGAGCUUGUCGUUUGAGCAGAUGGAAAAGUACCUGGCCCUACCCACAUGUGUGACUGCAGAGAACCUCCAAGGACAGCAAUUCAGCAGCAGUGACAUUGCACUCUUCCUGACACUGCACAGAGCAGGAAAAAAAAAUUCGUGAGGCAUCUCUAAUUCUGAUAACAGGACCUAGGAGACACACUGAUGACAUUGGAUCUUCUCAUGGGGGCACAGACCAGCAGCCAUUCUGAGACAGAGUAAAGCAGAAGCACAGCUGUCCCAUUAACACCAUUGUGAGACUGGCAGGAUGCAGUCACCUGCAUUUGGCACAGCAGGGAAGUGCAGUGUUUCAGACAGAUAUAAAUCAAUGUGUCAAAUAUCUCCGGUGCUGUGAUACAGAAAUGCCAGCAAAAGCAGUCCUGGGACAAAAAGCCUUCAGUCUCUGAAAUCUGAUAAAAAAUCUUAAAGCCUACCUCACAGUAGAGCAAUGCUUUUCUGGGUUUUGAAGACAUGAGAUGGAUAGUUUGUCAGGGCCCUGAGUACAUUCUCCCCCUUCUAGGAUUUUGGCUGGCGGCUCCAGACCAGCUGGCUGGUCAGAACUGGUGAAGAAAAAAGAGCUGGAAGAAGCUGUUGUGGAGGAUCCCCUGCAUAGCUCUGCUGAGAUGCUUUCAUGGGAGAUCCCCUCCUUAGCCUGGGAACUGCUUUUCAGUCACGGCUCUCUCAUGCUUGGCUCCCGCCUGAGUUGUGCCAUGGCCAUGUUCGUGCCAGACUGGUACCCUGCUGAUGGGAGCCCUGACCCUGCCAUGGGCUCUUGAUUUCCUGGCUGAACCUCAGGCUUGCCUCGUCACUUUGGGCGUUGCUGCUCCCAGUUAUAGUUUCAUUGUGCCUGCCAGGCUCAGGCAGGGGCACUUGUCCAGCAAUGGAUCUGUACUGCGGUGGAAAAUGAUGGAUGAUAUCUCCUCUGCUGCAGGGAAAUUGAAUCAGCGGGAAUCACUGAAGAUGACAUCCCAGGCUCCCUUGGGAUUCCAACACAACCCCUCCCUGCAAGAGAGCAGCUACUGCCUGAAAUUAUGAAUGCACACCAUGGCAUCCACCACCAGCAAGACUCAGAAAGGGCUGGGGAGCAAAGCCUGUGCCACAACUAAAGACAAUUGAGCAAGUGGAGAAAGCACUGGAAUGAUUUUGCAUUAUAAUUCAGGGAAAGAGAGAAACAUCAUUAUAAUCUGUAGCUGCAUAGGCUACUGAGAUGAAUAAGGCAACAAAACAUCGCUCUUUGCACACCCGAGAUGUGACCACCUAUCUGCUCUCUACACCAAAUGUGCUACGUGUACUAAAUACUCCGUGUGGGCACAAGCAGUUCAGGCUGGACCAAGAAAGCAGAAUGGUAAUGACUUUAAGAAGACAGCAUUUCAAGUGUCUGCCUCUUGAAAUACUGCCUAUCUUGGAGAUAUUUCCCAAAAGAUUCCCAAAAUAACACAAAGCUGGUGAAGGGCGAGAGUCACUCUUGAUGAUAUUCUUAGGCAUGACAGAUGCAGAGAAAAACAUGACAAAAACCCCCAAAACCAGCAGCAUUACCUACAUGAAGCAGAGAGUGCAGCCUAAAAUUGAGUCACGGCAAAAUGCAAAUCCAUGUAAAGGAACUGAAUUAUUUUGUCCACGCUGCAGAAAGAGAAGACAUCAGAUUUGAUUCAAAGUAAAGAAAGCAGCUAAUGAAGAGCAACUUCCCUCUCAAAGUCAGCAAAUGCACAAGGAAUAUUGACAUACCUCUCAAGAUUUAUACCAUGAGCAGCAUAAAUGCAUGGCUUAUGAACUGGGGAAGGAUAUAAAUGAGGAAGGCUUAGAGGGGCAUUGGCAAGAAAACAUUAAACAAGACCUCCAAAUCAACAAAAGCAAGACAAAUACCACAUCAGACAGUUAAAGCAGUAGAAAGGACCUCUGGUAACAUAUGGAUGAACUGAAGCCAAUGCUGCAAAACUAUAUUCCUAGAAAAGCCCUUGUUUGGAUGUCAUAUUUUACUCUUUCACCAUACUGGACCACAGGCUGACACUGCCAGCAAUUCACAGUCCAUUAGCAGAUGUUCUUCACAAGUCUCAUGCUCCUGUACAACCAAGUAAUUCACAUAUAACUCUCAACCUAGAAAGACUCAAAUUGAAAGGGAAAAUAUAAUCAGGGGAAGACAAGUUCUCCUGGCAUGUCUUCAUCCUUGAAAUUUCAUACCGAAUAGGAAAAAAAGUGUUUGAGGAAGGAAUCCAUAUUGAUAGUUGAACAUUUAAUAGUGUCUACAUUUAAGUUAUCAGAAUAGCAGGAGAAAGCAGAGUGUGGGAUGUGCUGGGUUUUAAAAGGAAGCAAAGAGAGCAGAGUGACCUGCACAAGAAUAACAAGCUCCUUUGGCUAUUGCAGACUUUUGGAAUGAGAAAAACAUUGUCUGCAGAGAAAAGACUAAGGCUGAAAGGUAAGGAGAAACUGUGAUUCCUAGCAAAAUGGAUAUAUAUAUAUAUUAAAAAAAAAAAAAGAUGGGCAAAGGGCAUUUUGCUAUAGUGCUUUAGAAAAAGAAAGUAAAAGAAAACAUAAGGUUUUGACACGGUGCAAAAGCAUGGGUAGAAGGAAAUACUGGACGUUGCAGCUUAAACAGAAACAGCACUGCCAGAGAUGAAUCACAGUUUGUGUUAUCGGCAGAAACUGACAAUUAGGAGAGAUACCACAACCUACUUAUCAUGAAUUAUUGUCACAAGGUAGCUUUUGUUUAGCUACAUCAUUACUUAUCAAAUUUACGGCACUGUGUUGUCGAAUCCCACAAAGGCAACAUACACUCAGUAUACAAUGAUGCCUGCAGUUCUUCAGAGAAAGUGGGGUAAGAGAGUCCAGGAGAAGUUCUUGGGGUGUCAACUGCUGUCUGUGUGAUUAAUGUGUCAGGAGCGUGGGGGCAGACUGUGAGGAGCUGGGAGCCAGCUAUCGGUGGAGACGUGCACAGAGUUGUGCUGUUAAUUAUCAUCUACAGUUUCUGAGCUGACCUUAGAAACAUCGUCACCAGCAGAGAGGCCAUUUACACCACAAGGGCUGUGCUCACGGAAUGACACAGCAGAGUUCAAAUGCAAUGGCAAGCUCUUCCUCUUCUGUCCACUACUUUUUCCAGCUGCCCCUUAUUUGAAUCAAAUGGCAACAUAUGUCAUACUCUGAGCUUUUUCCCAUUUGUAGAUGGGAUGUAAAGAUGGGGAGGUGACUUUUAAGAGAGACUGAGCAAGCAAUUCUGGGAUCCUGUUUCCUCUUGUUUGCAUACAGGUGUGUGUGAAGAUGAACUGAGCCAUUGGGUGGAACCAGGGCUUGAAAUGUUGACUUAAUUCAGUGCUGAUCACUAUUUGCUGAGGGCAACAGCAGCUAAGGCAGUGCAAGAUUUUGGGCAUUUGAUAUAAUAUCAAAAGUGUCAGAGACUGACUACUGCAAUUUAGGGACAUGGUUUAGUGGGACAUGGCUAAGUUUGCAGUUGGACUCAAUGAUCUUAAGUAUCUUUUCCAACCUAAAUGAUUGUAUUAUCUCAAAGAAGAAACUUGUGGUUUCAGACCAAAAAAUGUAAAAUGUGACCCAGAUAGAACCAAAAAGUAAAAGACAAAAGAAAAACUUUGCCAACUCAUCUGUUUCUCUGAAAGCCCAACAUGAAGCCUCCAAAUUUCCCACAUUUCCAGGAGGGAACAAACAAGCACUGAAUGGCUCAUUGUCUGCAAGAGGUGUCAAAAUAAGGGGGUAAUGGUUUUAUCUUCCUUUUGAACAUCAAAUUCUGUGUUGCAUUGGCCCAAGUUGUCACCUAAUUUUUGGUCCAUCGUAACAGAAAUGCAACAGUUUUGCAAGGGAAGGGAGAUGCCCAGCAGGACUGUGCAUCCUUAUUCUCCAACCAGAGCAUGCAAGGAGGAGAAAAGAGAGUUUAUUUGAAAAGUGGGCCAACCAAUAUCAUAUCCAAUAUGCAUUUGCAAAAUGCAAGUCAGUCCUGGCUCAUCCAAAAGUGC